ensembl:lncRNA
AACAUAUUUGAAAGUCCUUUGACAAAGAUAAAGUCUUUAUGUGCAGAGUACUUGUACAGGGAAAAGGUCUCUGGAGCAACUGCUUUUGUUCUUUUCACAAAUGAAUAGUGAAAUACGAGUUGGAAUAGGAAGAUACCAGUUUCAUUUUCUGACAAGAAAGCAUCUGAAACCGACAGUGGGCCAGUACACUCCAUCUGGUACUUGUCGUUUUUUCCUAACAAGCACUGAAUUGUGGAAAGGGACAGCAAAAAGCUGAAAAAUGGUUUAGAAAUAAGAGAAAAUAUCAUGCAGUGAAAAAGCUAAACAAUCAAUAUGUUUAGAUUUAUUUUUAUUUUAAGCUUUAAGGAAAUCUAGGAAAGAGUGGAUAAAUGUCUACCUAAAGAGAAAAUAGCAGUUGCCAAAAGGCUCUUUUAUUUAGCAGGGAAAAACUUAAGACCAGGUGCAUUCAAUUUGGAAAGAAAACUCAUUACUAAGCUUGAGGGCAGACUAACCAGGUGUGAUCUUCCAUCAAGUCUUCAGAUGAGGACUGGACCCCUUUUGGAGAAGUUCUAGUUUUGUACAAGUAAGUGAGCAAAAAGAGGUAUUGGGAGGGGAACUUUGGUGUUUUUUAUAUAGAUGCCUUUACUGUGUUUUUAUAUUUGUACACACGUAUAUGCAUAUAGUAGAAGUGAUGACUUUAUGAGUCUUGCUGGCUUUAGACUGUGAAGUGAUGAAAGUGGUAGGCAGUGGUCUCUGUGGCAGGAUGAAGGCUGUUUAGGAACUUCUUACAUAAGACUUCUUAAAGUAAGAUGGGUUGAAAGCAAUUAUAACUUCUGUUGCUAAUGCUCUGUUAGGUACUGAAAAAUAAUUUGAAUCUUGAACAUAAGGAUGGAGUGGUUUACUUUAGUAGGUGAAGGAAUCUCUUGUAAUAGAGCAAUGAUAGCAAUUAAACCUAGUAUUUCUAUUAUGUGCUCAAGAUGUUUGUAAACUAGAUAAAAGAUUUAUAUUUGUUGCAAGGGUUUUCAUAUGCUAUAAGUGAAAUCUGCUUGGGUUUUGAAAAGUUUGAUGUAACCAUUUUCUCUUGGUGGACAAAACAAUAUAAUUUUAACCAACUGAUUAAAGUAUAUAAAGGAUAUGAAAUAUCAAACCAGUGGAUAUAGUGUACAAAUGGGUAUGUAAAUCGUAUUGUCAGAAAAAUGUGUUUUCUAAAGAAAAGAACUUUCACAUCUCUUCCUAAUUUGUUGCUCAUAAGUGUUGCUAAUAGCAGUAAUGCAAGGUUUUUAUGGGUGACAAGUUUUAAUUUAUUAGUUUAUUUAUAAGCAACUUUUAAAAAGUUAUAAACUUCAUUUCUGUAGUGUUAUUUCUCUGCUUUGCCCAUGUCCACACUUAUUAGCUGAAAUGAAAUAAAAAUGUUCAAC